GGGAACUACGAGCAUAAGCUUAAAACCCAAAGGACUUGGCGGUGCUUUAGACCCCCCUAGAGGAGCCUGUUCUAGAACCGAUAACCCCCGUUCGACCUCACCUUUUCUUGUUCAUCCCGUCUAUAUACCGCCGUCGUCAGCAUACCCUGUGAAGGAAACAUAGUAGGCAAAACUGGUAAAACCCAAAACGCCAGGUCGAGGUGUAGCAUACGAAAAGGAAAGAAAUGGGCUACAUUUCCUCUCACAGGAAAUACGAAUUGUGUUAUGAAACAACACAUGAAGGAGGAUUUAGCAGUAAGCAGAAAAC
rnacentral:rRNA from 1 species